rnacentral:snRNA from 1 species
CGAUGGAAUGGUGGGCCUCUGGCUCUCUUCCAUUACCAUUUAAUGUGCCUCCCUCCUGAAGCUGCUUGCUCAGUCAAAAAGGACAACAGUCCCUGAUAGAGGAGGACCAUUGAAGUAAAAGUAUCAGUAGCUGCCUUCUUCUGCUAGAACCACCAAACAAGCUCUCAAGAAUUGUUUCUGGUUUACUGUGGGUGGCACAUAGAAUAUUCAGGGUGAAAAGGGUGGAAAGAGAAAGCUGUCCUUGAGCAUUUGAGUAUCACAUGGAGGCUCUU